CAGCCGCGUAAUUCCAGCUCCAAUAGCGUAUAUUAAAGUUGUUGCAGUUAAAAAGCUCGUAGUUGAAUUUCGGGAUCAAUUUAUUGGUCGUGCUAUUGUACGUACUGGUAUUAUUGAUUCCUACCUUCUGACGAACCAUGAUGUCAUUAAUUUGGUGUCUUGGGGAAUCAGGACUGUUACUUUGAAAAAAUUAGAGUGUUUAAAGCAGGCUCACGCUUGAAUACAUUAGCAUGGAAUAACGAAAUAGGACGUUUGAUUCUAUUUUGUUGGUUUCUAGGAUCGACGUAAUGAUUAAUAGGGAUAGUUGGGGGCAUUAGUAUUCAAUUGUCAGAGGUGAAAUUCUUGGAUUUAUUGAAGACUAACUACUGCGAAAGCAUUUGCCAAGGAUGUUUUCAUUAAUCAAGAACGAAAGUUAGGGGAUCGAAGACGAUCAGAUACCGUCGUAGUCUUAACCAUAAACUAUGCCGACUAGGGAUCGGAUGAUGUUAAUUUUUUAAUGACUCAUUCGGCGCCUUACG
rnacentral:misc_RNA from 1 species